AUUGAACGCUGGCGGCAGGCUUAACACAUGCAAGUCGAGCGGGGUGAUGGUGCUUGCACUAUCACUUAGCGGCGGACGGGUGAGUAAUGCUUAGGAAUCUGCCUAUUAGUGGGGGACAACAUCUCGAAAGGGAUGCUAAUACCGCAUACGAGCUACGGGAGAAAGCAGGGGAUCACUUGUGACCUUGCGCUAAUAGAUGAGCCUAGGUCGGAUGAGCUAGUUGGUGGGGUAAAGGCCUACCAAGGCGACGAUCUGUAGCGGGUCUGAGAGGAUGAUCCGCCAGACUGGGACUGAGACACGGCCCAGACUCCUACGGGAGGCAGCAGUGGGGAAUAUUGGACAAUGGGGGGAACCCUGAUCCAGCCAUGCCGCGUGUGUGAAGAAGGCCUUAUGGUUGUAAAGCACUUUAAGCGAGGAGGAGGCUCCUUUGGUUAAUACCCAGAAUGAGUGGACGUUACUCGCAGAAUAAGCACCGGCUAACUCUGUGCCAGCAGCCGCGGUAA
rnacentral:rRNA from 1 species